AAAACAGCCAGAUUUUAUGUGCCAUAUGGGCCCAUUUUCAAAACCUUCAAAGAAUUAUAAUAAUUCAUAAUCCCAUUUUCAUACACUCUAAAUCAAACUAGUCUUUUUUUUUAAGAUUAUUUAUUUGAGAGAAAUAAACUGUGCAUGAGCAGGGGGAAGGGCAGAGGAAGAGGCAUGGAGCCCAACAUCGGGCUUGAUCCCAUGAGAUCACGACCUGAGGCAAGGGCAGACGCUGAACCGAUGGAGCCUCCCAGGUGCCACUAAAUCAAACUAGUCUUUGAUAGAAAGUUGAAUAUGAAGUUCAGUUUCCCUGUAGAGUGAUUUUCUUGGUUGGAAUUGUUCAGGGUUGCUGUGCUGAUUCCCCAUGCUGCCGGGGCUCAGGGUGGAGUCUUUCCCUGGAGCACACCCAAAUGGCUGAAGGUCUCAAGCACUUGGAAACAUAUGAAAGUUUUCAGGGAUGUUUUUGCAAAUUUAAAAUGUGUUUAAUGACCAUCUCUGCAAGCUGGAUGGACCUAAAAGUCCCACUCCCAUCAUUUCACUGAUGGAUCUCCUCAAAGUGCUUGGGACUCCACACUGGACCAGUGGCGGAGAAAGACACAGCAAAAGAAAAAAUUCUGCUCCCGUGGAAGUAGCUAGCACAGCUCCUGUUUCUCAUUUUAAAUGUUGGAAUAAAGCACUUAGAACAGAUUUGAAUGUGAACUUUGAGGUUUAGAAUGGCCUACUCAAGAGAAUUUUAAAAGACAUGUUAGAUGUGCCCCUCCGAUGGUUAAUUCUGAUUUUUAAUCUGCCGUUCGACAGCCGGUGGUGUGGAUUGUUGAUGCAAAGGAUAAAUUGAGGAGCAGAAUGAGGAGGAGGCCUCUGGGCAGUUGGCAUCUCUGGAGAAGUUUCUCAGAAAGCGCUUGCUGGAAAGAUCUGCACCGAGGUUGGACAGGAGAUGGGGGACCCUCUUCCAAAUUCGCCUUGUCUACCGUAGGUGCUGCACUCGUGGGCAGCUCUAGAGGGGCAGGGCAGGAAAACCCGGCCUUGAGGAAACCGCUUACCAGAGAGCAGCUCCCAGGGACCUCCGACGUGGGGUUUGGAGUUGCGGCUGCCCUGGCUCGGGGAAGUAUCGACGGCCCUCCUGGACCCCGCAGCGGGCUUCGGGUGGUGUUGCCGCUGCCGCCGCCGUUCAGGGCUGCGAGCAUGAAGCCAAAAGGAUUUCCUCGCCGGUGGCCCACCGGCUUUUUGUUGUGGCUCGUAUUCUAAAACAUCACCACAAAAUACUUUUUUUUAAAAAAAAAAAAAAAAGAUUUUUAUUUAUUUAUUCAUGAGAGACACAGAGAGAAAGAAAGAGAGAGAGGCAGAGACACAGGCAGAGAGAGAAGCAGGCUCCACACAGGGAGCCCCAUGCGGGACUCGAUCCCGGGACUCCAGGAUCACACCCUGGGCCGAAGGCAGGCACCAAACCACUGAGCCAAUCAGGGAUCCCCCUCACCACAAAAUACUUAAUCCUUCUAGGCCUUUAGAAAUGUCAGAUCAGAAAGACAAAGAUAUUCUAAACAUAAAUCCGUGCCAUGAGCUCCUGCAGGUACAAUAGUUUACGAAUGAAAAGAUUUUGAAAUAAUUUGCACACUGAGAAACGCCAGUAGUGGUUUGAGGUCCAUUGUUUGUGUCUA